rnacentral:rRNA from 1 species
GUAGGUGGCAAGCGUUGUCCGGAAUUAUUGGGCGUAAAGCGCGCGCAGGCGGUUCUUUAAGUCUGAUGUGAAAGCCCACGGCUCAACCGUGGAGGGUCAUUGGAAACUGGAGAACUUGAGUACAGAAGAGGAAAGCGGAAUUCCACGUGUGGCGGUGAAAUGCGUAGAGAUGUGGAGGAACACCAGUGGCGAAGGCGGCUUUUCUGGUCUGUAACUGACGCUGAGGCGCGAAAGCGUGGGGAGCAAACAGGGAUUAGAUACCCUGGUAGUCCACGCCGUAAACGAUGAGUGCUAAGUGUUAGGGGGUUUCCGCCCCCUUAGUGCUGCAGCUAACGCAUUAAGCACUCCGCCUGGGGAUACGGCCGCAAGGCUG